CCAUAGCCGGGAACUAAGGACCCCGAGGGAGAAACGCGGGGAUAACGGAGCCGGGGGGGGGCAAAGGGAAGGCCCUGCCCUCCCCCAGGGGCGGCUCUGCGCUGUGGGCCCGCCUCCUGUGCCCAAUGGAGGGGGACAUUGCUAAGGGGCGGUGCGGCGCAGGAUGAUGACGUCAUCACUACCAUCCUGUUGCGAUGAUCUCGAAGUGACAACGGAGCGAGGGGCCGAGGAUGAGAAGGGAGAUGGGGGGAGGGGGCAGUAAUGACGUCACGACGGCUUCUCUCCGCACGUUGAGGCCCACGUGACCUCUCAGUUCUCCCCCAGUGCCCCCAUUAUCAGUUUCUCCACACUGUUCCCAGUUUCCAUGGUUCCUUCCGGUUACCCCACGUAGCCCCCACUGACUCCAGUUUCCCCCCAUUAAUUCCAUCACCAGCUGCUCUCUCCCACCACCCCCAGUUCCCCUCCGUUAACCGUAUUCGCCCCCCUCAUCCCCAAGUGUCCCCAAUUCCCCCAUUGCCCCCAGUUCUCUCAUUGCCCCCAUUAACCCCAUACGAGAUGAAUUUCCUCGAGGGUGGAUCUUGCUACGUGAUAUUUCCCAGCCAACAUGAAAUAUAUCCUUGAACUAACAAAUACAGAGAAAGGUGGGUGCUAAGUUGAACUAUGAUUGUUAUCCCCUAAUGGCUGACAGCUGGGAAAGCAUCACUGGAGAAGGACCACCAGUGAGGCAGACUUUAGAGAAAGGUGAAAGGAGAGGUAGAAAGCUUUGAGUAUCUUAGUAAAUUCCCUGCUGUUACUUGGAUGCUUGGUUGCUGUUUGAUGCCCGUGAUUUGUACAUUUCUCAAACCAGGUGACAUGAAUAAUUUAAUGAAUUUUAGACCAACAAAAACAAGACUCAGUGCACACAGUGAUUGAAGUAUUGUCCUUUGGGAGUUAGGAAAGGGAAACACAGCCACUGGUUGCAGACAGAGAUGAAAGAAAGAGGUGGUUUGCCCAAAGAUACACUGCAUUUCCCAAUGGGAAAAAAAAAAAAAACAACAUUCAGACAAGUGAAAAUCUCUUCUGGAGCAGUUUGUAAUAGGUACCUCUACAAGCUCAUGCAUCUGCCAAAUAAAGGGAAUCAUGAAUCAUUUCCCAGAAUAAAUAUCUUCACGUUUCAUGCGUUAUGCUCUGCUCCCAGUUUUAUUUUCAUGGAAUACAAAAUCCCUCCUUCUUAUAGUGUGAUUCCUUUAAUGGCAUCUGAAGUAUCAUAUUUGCCUACACAGCUUCAACCUGUACAGACAGAUCUGAAAAGAAAUGGCCUUUCUUUGUUCAGAGAGGAAUUGUGCUGGUGAUUUCUGCAAGCUUACAAAUAUCUGUUAUCUGUAGUCCAUGUCACAAGCAAUUACAGCCAUCUUAGGACUCGACUUCCCACCAUCAGGGUGGGUAACAAAUGGUGUUGGAGGUGAGGUGUGUGUGUCCUGCACCUCAGAAAAACUGCAGGCUUCCAGCCAUCUGUUGGGCUUAAUUCUUAAGUCAUUGGCCUGCUUCCUUUGGCAUCCUCUGCUGCUCAACGUGGAGGCAUAAUGUGCAGUUGGGAAGAGAACAGGGGUUAAAUGAGACUGACAAGGCACCAUCCAAAACCACCGGGGGGAAUUGAAGGACGUCAACAUUUGUUUACUUUUUCUCUCUCUUUCAGGAUCUGUUGCAAAAUGUAAAAAUGAAAGGAGGAAAGUCUGCAGGUACCACUGAUCCCAAGCAACCUUUGUAUCGUGUGUGUUUGCCUGGUAAGUUUGCAUUUCAGAUCACAUGUGGAUAAACACAGCUCAAGGCCCAAACAGGUGACUGGCCCAUGAGAAAAGACUUGUGGCAGCUUGGGAACACACAUACACUGCCUCUUGCUUCUGUACGUAGCAAGAAGAAACCUGUUUGUGAGCUCUGCAACUGUAACCAGGUCUCCCUGCUUUCUGUGAAUGAUGCUUUCUUGUCUCCUGCUGUCAUAAAUAGAGCACUGAGGUGGUGUGGGCACUCUGCUGGCCAGCUGCCCCUACCAAGGUGAGUGCCUCUCUAUUAAACUGAUGGAUAUUAA